GGUAGUGAGGGGGAUACAGAAGGUUCCGGCAGUCGGGCUGUACCACUCCCACUUGUGGUGGUGGUAGUGAGGGGGAUACAGAAGGUUCCGGCAGUCGGGCUGUACCACUCCCACUCGCGGUGGUGGUAGUGAGGGGGAUACAGAAGGUUCCGGCAGUCGGGCUGUACCACUCCCACUCGUGGUGGUGGUAGUGAGGGGGAUACAGAAGGUUCCGGCAGUCAGGUUGUACCACUCCCACUUGCGGUGGUGGUAGUGAGGGGGAUACAGAAGGUUCCGGCAGUCGGGCUGUACCACUCCCACUCGUGGUGGUGGUAGUGAGGGGGAUACAGAAGGUUCCGGCAGUCGGGCUGUACCACUCCUGCAGCACGGGGUCAGUUACUGCUGUUCCAAGCUGUAUGUUCGUUGCCCCUGGCUAUCGCCUGGGACGUUUCCUCUCCCCGUCGCUCUAGUUCAAUACUCGACUUGUUAAACUGCCUCUACACAAACAUGCCCGCGGAUGCCCCCCAGCACCACCUCCCGCCUGUGGGCGAUGGGGCACUCCCCAGGGCACUGAAACGGCUGGUCUGGGGUUGGCACAAGAGUCUCUCCGGAGGGGCACGAGCCAGGCCUGACCCUCGGAACUGGCCUGAACCCUGCAGCCUGACUGAGGACGACGGAUCAUUUCUAGCCAGACCAGUGACGCUCCCUCGGCGAGAUCCCGGACGAUGUACUGGCUCCCGGCAGUGCAGGAGAUGGGGCCUGUGUCAGGGAUGCGCCUGCCUGAGAGAACCCAGUGUUCCCGGCCGGACGUUCCGAAGCCUCUGGGACAGGGACAUGGCUCUUUGGGCCUCAUAUCACAGAACAACCCCGUGUUAAUGGUUAUCAGACUACUAAAGAGUUGGAGUCGGACUCCCACCCGAAUGGAUGUGCUGCUUGUUUCUUCCCGGCUUGCUCAUGACUUCAGAUCUGGCAGAAAAGCUUUGCUAAGGAGACAGGCCUUGCACUGUGUCUUUGGCGCUGGCUGUUCUCCUCCACAAGCCUGUUCCCCAAACAUCUCCCCGUGAAUAUGACUCCUGCAUGAUUUGUCCUGGGCCCUGUCUCCGAGGAACACUGGGUUGUGGAAGGCAAGCCCAUCCCUAAUAUAUCUGGGUACUGAAACGUUAAUGGCUCUGGAAUUCAGCACCAAGGCCUUGCACACGCAUCAGAUCAGAACUUGGAGCCCGUGCAGAGCGCAGGAGGGACGUGCUCUUGGCUGCUCAUCCCACUGAGGAACUGAAGAUUUGAGACUUGUUGGCUUCGCUCUUCAGUCACCCGUAAGCCACAUGGAGGAAACACCUCCCCUCUUCUGUUCUGAAAUGUCACCAUUCCAGGGGCAGAGAGCCCGGAGCCCAGCGGGGCAUAUGACAUCAGAGAUCCUUGGACAGCAAGGGUGGACCAGCAAUUAGGGCACUAGCCAGAAACUUGGCUUUCAUUCCCAGCUCUGCCACAGACCCCCUGUAUGAUCUCAAUCUAGUCCCUUAAGCUCUCUGUGCCUCAGUACAGUGGGGAAGAUAGCCCGCCCUGCCUCCCAGGGUGCUUGUGAGGAAAGAGGCACGAAAUAUUGCAAGGGGUUCAGAUGCUAAAGUGAUGGGCACCAUGUAAGUCCCAUAGAGAGCGCCACAGACCCAGCUGUUGAAACGGGACAUUGAUCAGACAGUGCAACAGCCCAGGCGAGCAUCAGACUGUCAAACCCACAGGGUUUGUGGGGACUCCGCGAACUAGUUCCUGGAGCAGAAGCACGUGUCCCAGAGGAGGCGGCGGCUCACCUGUCUUCAUCGUGUGGCCCCUUGCCAAUAUGAGAAUAAGGCUGGUACAAAGCAAUUUAAACUCCUCCCUGGGGACUAGCUCAUCAUUCCCACCACAUACCGUCUGGAUGAAGAAGCUGAGUUCAUCCUCCGGGUGUUCACAGAGAAGACUCCUGCCUUUCAGUGGAAAACAGACACUGCCCUGUGCAACAGCACCAUCUCCGAAAAAACCCAGGGAACUGCACCAGCAUCAGUCAAUGUCCAAUUAAGAUGCACAGUGAAAUUGACAAUGAAAUCAGCACAGAUGUGGAAGCCCUUCAGGUGUGAAUUAAAAAACAAGAGAGCAGCAGGAUAAGAACAGAGAUAAUCCCAGGAUUUUAGCAAGUAACCCUCCUCUCCAGCAAACCGCUUCCAACUCCCAAGGCUGCCUGGGAGCUGCUGCUACAGCCCUGGUGAAUCUGAUCAGACUGUCCUGGUGGUGUUUACAGGCUGUAUUUUCGGAGUAUGACACACAAGCUUCUGGGAAUAACGAACGCCUAUGAACUGCGCCGGGCUGCGGACGCUGCAGGUAAGAGGCGGGGAGCAUGUAGGCGUAGAAUGAGAUUUUAAAUGAUGGAAAGCACCUUUGCUGGCUAUUAAACUUUAGAACUGAUGAAGUAGCAAAAUAGACUCCUGCUACUGGAGGAGACAAACACUUGAAUGCCCCAGAAGCCAAACCGCCAUAUUCAUUCUACAACCACGUCAGGCUGCAAUUCUGCCUGCUACAGCCUGUGUGAAUGUGACAGUGGAGCAAAGGGACAUGCCCUAGCCCACACAAUCCUCUUGAAACAGGAGAGGACUGUAAUCCAGGUAGCACUUAUCACACCUGUUAUUCAAGGAUCUCAAAGCACAUUGGUGCGGUGUUCUCGUCAUCCCCGUUUGACAGCCAGGGAUCACAGCGCAUCAGAAGAGCCAAGAAUGGAACUUGCUGAAAGUAAAGCAUGGCCCAAAGCAGCACACCGGAUCGGAACGUUAGGGCAGUUCAGAUCCAAUCCAGAGUGCGUGACUGUCCAGCUAGACGAAACGAGCAAACCACAGCUGAAAGGACCAAGGCUGUGGGGUGGGAGAGAGGCGAUGAAUCACAGCUUCCUCCGCCUCUCAAUACAGCCAACAAUGUUGGGAAUCAUUAGGAAAGGGACAGAUAA